UACGGAGGGUGCAAGCGUUAUCCGGAUUCACUGGGUUUAAAGGGUGCGUAGGCGGGCAGGUAAGUCCGUGGUGAAAUCUCUGAGCUUAACUCAGAAACUGCCAUGGAUACUAUUGUCUUGAAUAUUGUGGAGGUAAGCGGAAUAUGUCAUGUAGGCGGUGAAAUGCUUAGAUAUGACAUAGAACACCAAUGCGAAGGCAGCUUACUACACAGUCAUUGACGCUGAGGCACGAAAGCGUGGGGAUCAAACAGG
rnacentral:rRNA from 1 species